rnacentral:rRNA from 1 species
AGAGAAUAGAUACCCUGGUAGUCCACGCCCUAAACGAUGUCGACUGGUUGUUGGGGGUUUGACACUCUCAGUAAACGAAAGCUAAACGCGUGAAGUCGACCGCCUGGGGAGUACGGCCGCAAGGUUAAAACUCAAAGGAAUUGACGGGGACCCGCACAAGCGGUGGAUUAUGUGGAUUAAUUCGAUGCAACGCGAAAAACCUUACCUACCCUUGACAUGUCCGGGAGCCUGCUGAGAGGCGGGUGUGCUCGAAAGAGAACCGGAACACAGGUGCUGCAUGGCUGUCGUCAGCUCGUGUCGUGAGAUGUUGGGUUAAGUCCCGCAACGAGCGCAACCCUUGCCAUUAGUUGCCACCCGUAAGGGGGCACUCUAAUGGGACUGCCGGUGACAAACCGGAGGAAGGUGGGGAUGACGUCAAGUCCUCAUGGCCCUUAUGGGUAGGGCUUCACACGUAAUACAAUGGCGCGUACAGAGGGUUGCCAAGGAGCGAUCUGGAGCCAAUCCCGUAAAGCGCGUCGUAGUCCGGAUUGCAGUCUGCAACUCGACUGC